UCCGUGCUGGUGUGCCUAAUACAUGCAGUCGUACGGUCAUGCAGUUGUAGCAAUAUGAUUGCAUGAUAGUGGCGAACGGGUGAGUAACACGUGGAUAACCUACCUUCGAGUGGGGGAUAACUCCGGGAAACUGGGGCUAAUACCGCAUGACAUCCCAGCCCGACAUCGGGAGGGGAUCAACGACGCAAGUCGCUUGAAGAUGGAUCCGCGUCCUAUCAGCUAGUUGGCGGGGUAACGGCCCACCAAGGCGACGACGGGUAGCCGGCCUGAGAGGGCGAUCGGCCACAAGGGGACUGAGACACGGCCCCUACUCCUACGGGAGGCAGCAGUAGGGAAUUUUGCUCAAUGGGCGCAAGCCUGAAGCAGCGACGCCGCGUGGGUGAUGAAAUCUUUCGGGAUGUAAAACCCUUUUCACCGGGACGAAAGAAAGAUGACGGUACCGGUGGAAUAAGCCUCGGCUAACUCCGUGCCAGCAGCCGCGGUAAGACGGGGGAGGCAAGCGUUGUCCGGAAUCACUGGGUGUAAAGGGCGUGUAGGCGGGUCGGAAAGUCGAUUGUAAAAUAUCUCCGCUCAACGGAGAAACCGCAGUCGAUACUUCCGGUCUUGAGUGCGGCAGGGGAGGAUGGAAUUCCUGGUGUAGCGGUGAAAUGCGUAGAUAUCAGGAGGAACACCGGUGGCGAAGGCGGUCCCUCUGGGCCUGCACUGACGCUGAGGGCGCGAAAGCUGGGGGAGCAAACAGAAUUAGAUACUCUGGUAGUCCCAGCCCUAAACGAUGGGUACUAGGUGUUCGUCCCUUUCAAGGGAUGAGUGCCGCAGCUAACGCAUUAAGUACCCCACCUGGGGAGUACGAUCGCAAGGUUG
rnacentral:rRNA from 1 species